rnacentral:lncRNA from 1 species
UAUAUUGUUAGAGCGCAACAGAGUAGUCUAUUGUUGUUCCGGUUUUGGUUCUUGUGAAGGUUGACAUCGAUUCGUUCCAAAUUUACACUCUCGGGGCAUAAUAGAAUAAUAUAAUUAGCUUUUACACUUUGUUCGAUUGAAUGAAAAAAAGUACUCGUUGCAAAGUUAUACUGUUAGGGCGCAACUGAGUAAUCUAUUAUUGUUCCGGUUUUGUUUCUUAUAAAGGUUGACAUCGAUUCAUUCCAAAUUUACACUCUCGGGGCAUAAUAGAACAAUAUUAUUAGCUUUUACUCUUUGUCCGAUAGAAUGUGAAAAAGUACUCAUUGCAAAAUAAUACUGUUAGGGUGCAACUGAGUAGUCUAAUGUUGUUCCGGUUUUCGUACUUGUGAGCGUAGAUAUCGAUUCGUUCCAAAUUUACUCUCUCGGGGCAAAAUAGAACAAUAUAAUUAGGUUUUACUCUUUCUUCGAUAGAAUGAGAAAAAGCACUCGUUGCAAGUUUAUAUUGUUAGGGCGCAACAGAGUAGUCUAUUGUUGUUCCGAUUUUGGUUCUUGUGAAGGUUGACCUCGAUUCGUUCCAAAUUUACACCCUCGGGGCAUAAUAGAAUAAUAUAAUUAGCUUUUACACUUUGUUCGAUUGAAUGAGAAAAAGUACUCGUUACAAAGUUAUACUGUUAGGGCGCAAGUGAGUAAUCUAUUGUUGUUCCGGUUAUGCUUCUUGUGAAGCUUGACAUCGAUUCGUUCCAAAUUUACACUCUCGAGGCAUAAUAGAACAAUAUAAUUAGCAUUUACUCUUUUUUCGAUUGAAUGAGAAAAAGUACUCGUCGCAAAGUUCUAUUGUUAGGGCGGAACUGAGUAGUCUUUUUUUGUUCCGGUUUUGGUUCUUGUCAAGGUUGACAUCGAUUCGUACCAAAUUUACACUCUCGGGGCGCAAUAGAACAAUAUAAUUAGCUUUUACUCUUUGUUCGAUUGAAUGAGAAAAAGUACUCGUUGCAAAGUUAUACUGUUAGGGCGCAACUGAGCAGUCUAUUACUGUUUCGGUUUUGGUUCUUGUCAAGGUUGACAUCGAUUCGUACCAAAUUUACACUCUCGGGGCGCAAUAGAACAAUAUAAUUAGCUUUUACUCUUUGUUCGAUUGAAUGAGAAAAAGUACUCGUUGCAAAGUUAUACUGUUAGGGCGCAACUGAGUAGUCUAUUAUUGUACCAGAUUUGGUUCUUGUGAAGGUUGACAUCGAUU